UCACAGUAAUACUAUAAAUAGGUAGAAAGUGCCGCUACAGUACUGUUACAAUCAUUCCCUGGCUGCAAUGUUG